GCGAUCAUAUUAGCAUUAAUGCACUGGAUCCCAUCAAAACUCCGCAGUUAAGCGUGCUUGGGUAACAGUAGUUCUAGGAUGCGUGACCCUCUGGGAAGUCUUCGUGUUGCCCCC